rfam:Eurypyga helias contig38711, whole genome shotgun sequence.
CUCCACAGCUACUGGUCUGGAACUGUUCAGAACUGUAGCAGUUGCAGUAUUCCCUCUGUGGAAAAUGAACUGUUACAUGGCAUUACGCUCCUUCUCCAAUCCUCUGGAAAGGACUUCCUGUGUAACAGACAACG